rnacentral:rRNA from 1 species
UCUGGACGGAGCAACGCCGCGUGAGGUGAUGAAGGUUUUCGGAUCGUAAAGCUCUGUUGUUAGGGAAGAACAAGUACCGUUCGAAUAGGGCGGUACCUUGACGGUACCUAACCAGAAAGCCACGGCUAACUACGUGCCAGCAGCCGCGGUAAUACGUAGGUGGCAAGCGUUGUCCGGAAUUAUUGGGCGUAAAGGGCUCGCAGGCGGUUUCUUAAGUCUGAUGUGAAAGCCCCCGGCUCAACCGGGGAGGGUCAUUGGAAACUGGGGAACUUGAGUGCAGAAGAGGAGAGUGGAAUUCCACGUGUAGCGGUGAAAUGCGUAGAGAUGUGGAGGAACACCAGUGGCGAAGGCGACUCUCUGGUCUGUAACUGACGCUGAGGAGCGAAAGCGUGGGGAGCGAACAGGAUUAGAUACCCUGGUAGUCCACGCCGUAAACGAUGAGUGCUAAGUGUUAGGGGGUUUCCGCCCCUUAGUGCUGCAGCUAACGCAUUAAGCACUCCGCCUGGGGAGUACGGUCGCAAGACUGAAACUCAAAGGAAUUGACGGGGGCCCGCACAAGCGGUGGAGCAUGUGGUUUAAUUCGAAGCAACGCGAAGAACCUUACCAGGUCUUGACAUCCUCUGACAAUCCUAGAGAUAGGACGUCCCCUUCGGGGGCAGAGUGACAGGUGGUGCAUGGUUGUCGUCAGCUCGUGUCGUGAGAUG